rnacentral:rRNA from 1 species
UGAUCCUGGCUCAGAUUGAACGCUGGCGGCAUGCUUUACACAUGCAAGUCGAACGGUAACAGGGAGCUUGCUCCGCUGACGAGUGGCGAACGGGUGAGUAAUAUAUCGGAACGUACCCAAGAGUGGGGGAUAACGUAGCGAAAGUUACGCUAAUACCGCAUACGAUCUAAGGAUGAAAGCAGGGGACCGCAAGGCCUUGUGCUCCUGGAGCGGCCGAUAUCUGAUUAGCUAGUUGGUAGGGUAAAGGCCUACCAAGGCAUCGAUCAGUAGCUGGUCUGAGAGGACGACCAGCCACACUGGAACUGAGACACGGUCCAGACUCCUACGGGAGGCAGCAGUGGGGAAUUUUGGACAAUGGGCGCAAGCCUGAUCCAGCAAUGCCGCGUGAGUGAAGAAGGCCUUCGGGUUGUAAAGCUCUUUUGUCAGGGAAGAAACGGGACGAGGAUA